GGGCUGCCGUCACCCGAAGUCAGGUAAAGUAUGGGAAGGCUCCCAAGCUCUUUCCCUUUUUCCUUAUUCUCCAUGGGGUCCAAGUCUAAUCCCCCACAUUAUGCUCAAUUUUAAGCCAUUCCCUACUUCACCCUUUCUAUGUUCCCUUCUCCUGGAUUCUUAGUGACCUCUUUCCACUUCUGAUCAGUCCCCCCAUCUCUCCUGCAGAAACGUGGCAUCUCAUCAGAAGAGGAGGAAGGAGAGGUAGACAGUGAAGUAGAGCUGACAUCAAGCCAGAGGUGGCCUCAGAGCCUGAACAUGCGCCAGUCACUAUCUACCUUCAGCUCAGAGAAUCCAUCAGAUGGAGAGGAAGGCACAGCUAGUGAACCUUCCCCCAGUGGCACACCUGAAGUUGGCAGCACCAACACUGAUGAGCGGCCAGAUGAGCGGUCUGAUGACAUGUGCUCCCAGGGCUCAGAAAUCCCACUGGACCCACCUCCUUCAGAGGUCAUCCCCGGCCCUGAAGCCAGCUCCCUGCCCAUUCCACACCAGGAACUUUUCAGAGAGCGGGGCCCUCCCAAUUCUGAGGACUCAGACUGUGACAGCACUGAAUUGGACAACUCCAACAGCGUUGAUGCCUUGCGGCCCCCAGCUUCCCUCCCUCCAUGAAAGUCACUCGUAUUCCUUGUACAUAGAGAAAUAUUUAUAUAAAUUAUAUAUAUAUACAUA
rnacentral:sRNA from 1 species